GUUAUUUUGGCAGAAUAGUGCCAUUGAUUUAGAAUCAAUAAAUAUAAUAAUUUAGUUAUAAAUAAUAAUUGUUCAA
rnacentral:tRNA from 1 species